rnacentral:pre_miRNA from 1 species
AAUAGAUGACGCCGUUGAUUUUUUAUCACAUGUUUGACCAUUCGUCUUAUUCAAAAAAUUUACGUAAUUAUAAUUUAUUUUUGUUAUGAGUUGUGUUAUCACUCAUAGUAAUUUAAAUGUGAUUUAUAUCUUAUACAUUUGCAUAAAAUUUUUAAAUAAGAUGAAUGGUCAAACAUGUGAGAAAAAGUCAAUGGCGUCAUCUAUU